ACGGAAGGCAGCAGUGGGGAAUAUUGCACAAUGGGGGAAACCCUGAUGCAGCGACGCCGCGUGAGUGAAGAAGUUAUUCGUAAUGUAAAGCUCUAUCAGCAGGGAAGAAAAUGACGGUACCUGACUAAGAAGCCCCGGCUAACUACGUGCCAGCAGCCGCGGUAAUACGUAGGGGGCAAGCGUUAUCCGGAUUUACUGGGUGUAAAGGGAGCGUAGACGGUCUAGCAAGUCUGAUGUGAAAGGCAGGGGCUCAACUCCUGGACUGCAUUGGAAACUGUUAGUCUUGAGUGUCGAAGAGGUAAGCGGAAUUCCUAGUGUAGCGGUGAAAUGCGUAGAUAUUAGGAGGAACACCAGUGGCGAAGGCGGCUUACUGGACGAUAACUGACGUUGAGGCUCGAAAGCGUGGGGAGCAAACAGGAUUAGAUACCCUGGUA
rnacentral:rRNA from 1 species